rnacentral:sRNA from 1 species
AAGCGCCGGGUGUCAACCGGCCGCAACAGGGAUGAUGGACGUGGUGAUUUUGCCGGUUUCUAGCCACGGCAGCAACGCAUCGGUACGCGUGGCAUCUGACCUGUUCCCGGC